rnacentral:rRNA from 1 species
UACAGAGGUCUCAAGCGUUGUUCGGAUUCAUUGGGCGUAAAGGGUGUGUAGGUGGCGCCGUAAGUCGGGUGUGAAAUUUCGGAGCUUAACUCCGAAACUGCAUUCGAUACUGCGGUGCUUGAGGACUGGAGAGGAGACUGGAAUUCAUGGUGUAGCAGUGAAAUGCGUAGAAAUCAUGAGGAAGACCAGUGGCGAAGGCGGGUCUCUGGACAGUUCCUGACACUGAGACACGAAGGCCAGGGGAGCAAACGGG